rnacentral:lncRNA from 1 species
CAGAACCUCAAAAAGAAAGAUUGACCUCUGACACAGCUCAAGUCAAUAAAGAAGCAAAGAAAGACACAGUCUCUGACAAAGCUCAAGCUGUGUUCAAACCAACAACUACACCACUGGCUGGAUUUGCAAAACCUACUCUGAUGACUGAAAUAAGUUUUGAAAAAGGCUCAAUUAAACCAUUUUCUCAUCAAAAGGCAGGAAGAGAUAAAGGAGGGCUGGGAUCCAAAUAUGAAAAAUUUGAUCAGAGUAUAGGAUCAAGACCAGAUGACCCCUCAUCUCUCUGUGCUCCCAAGACUGGAGCUUUACAAGAAAGAAUGGACAAAUUAGAUUCAGUCCAGUUGGUGAAGAAUGACAGAGGAGAUAAUAUUCUUAUCUACUUCAUGUCUGAUGG